GUUUUGAUAAAUCUCCCCUAUGGUCUUUACUGCAGAAACAUCUGUUUUGAAACAUUACAGCUCCCUAUUGCUUCUACAAUGUUACAGAAUGCAGGACAACGUGACCCUUUCCAGUUGUUUCACAAUGAAUGGUUCCACUCCUGGUUGUGACCAAAAUGAUGCUACGUGAAAGAGGCCUCAGUCUGUCUUGAAACCCUGCAACACAUUUUUUAUUUUAAAACAUGAUAUAUUCCCAUUGAAAUCAAUAGGAUGUCCUGUGUAUACUCCGUCCCCCAUAGAGACACUCUUAUUUGUAGUUGUUCUAUGCUUUAGCUAAUAGAUUGGGGUCCUCAUCAGGGGGCCUAUCAGUGCUAAAAUAAAAAGAACUUGAA